GAGAGAGACGGGCCUGGCCAGGACAGGGACCCGCUGCUUGCAGGGGAGGCAUGUGUGUGGAGAACGCCUAGGAGCACGUGGGUGGCCACGAACCCUGACCGUGCAGGUCGAGAAACUCUUCCAGGAUAGUAUGUGGUGGAUCAUGUCCGCCUAAAAGGUAUGUCCAAGUCCUGACCCCAGGACCUGUGAAGGUGGCCUGAUUUGGAAGGAAGGUUUUGUAGAUGUCCUCAAGUUAAGAUGAGCUCAUCCUGGAUUACGGUGGGCUCUAAAUGCAAUGACUGAUGUUCUUACAAGAGAAAGGAGAGGGAUUUUUUUUUUUUGAGACAGAGUUUCACUCUUGUUGCCGAGGCUGGAGUGCGAUGGUGCGAUCUCAGCUCACUGCCACCUCCGCCUCCCGGGUUCAAGCAAUCUUCUGCCUCAGACUCCAGAGUAGCUGGGAUUACAGGUGCCCGCCAUCACACCUGGCUAAUUUUUUGUAUUUUUAGUAGAGAUGGGGUUUCACCAUGUUGGCCAGGCUGGUCUCGAACUCCUGACCUUAGGUGAUCCACCCAUCUCAGCCUCCCAAAAUGCUGGCAUUAGAGGCAUGCAGCACUGUGCCUGGUCAAGGAGAGGGAAUAUUGGACAUAGAUACACGGCAUUUCACACAGGGAGAAACACCACAUGACAAUGGAGGCAGAGAUUUGGAAUGACACGGCUACAAGGCCAGGGACACCAGGGAUUGCCGCAGCCACCAGAAGCUGGAAGAGGUGAAGACAGAGCCUCCUGCAGAGCUCCCACUCUGCCAACGCCUUGACUUUGCACUUCUGGCCUCCAGGACUGUGGGGGGGCUGCUUCUGCUGUUUCAGGAUGCCCGCCUGUGGUGCCACCUUGCAGCAGCCCUACAGGGUAACAUGCAGAGAAGUGGGAAGUAAGUGGAGACUUGCAGGAUGCAGAAGGUGCAGGUGAAGGUGCUGAGGAGGGAAACAGCGUUCUGGGCAGAGGGCACGGCUGUGCAAAGGCCCUGUCACACAGACACCGUGAGUGGAGUUUGAGUGUGGCAUGAAGUGACCUAAUAGAACAGAAUCUGCGAAUGCACGGGGUGCACUCAUGGGGGGGUGGGGGGAGUGACUUAGACCACGGACACAGACAAUGCUCUUCACCCGUUUUGAACAGUGAGUCAAUUCUGCCAAUGAGCAAGUCUUCCAGACUGUUGGGCCCUAGACGAAGAACGACCUGCCAGCCGGGAAUUCUCUGCAAAGGACAAUGUCAAAACUCAUCUGAGGCAUCCAUGUCUGUCCUACAGCAAGCUUCCCCGCGACACUGGAGGGACCUAGGCUCCCGGCAGUUUUCAGGAGCCAGCCCUGGGCUAGGGGCUCCACAGUACUUGCAAACAAAAAGAGUUCCAAAAACCCAAUUUGCAUUCACCCAUGUAAGAAAUGCCUGAUAAGGAAGUAGCUUCUCUAUUUCCUGGGAUGGGGAUUUUUGCUCUGGGGCAUCAGAUAAUAUUAUUUGUAAGCUAGUCAUCACCAAUCCUUCGUUUUCUUCUGGCUUAGCAGAUUCAGGUCGAUUUAUGGCACUGACUAUCACUGCUUUAAAGUUAUCAAAAAUCACUUUAAAAGAAAACGAUGAAAUUGCAGAAAAGUGGAGUUUAUUGAAAAUCUGACUGUGGUCCCUUGAAGUUACUGCUUACAGGAUCAGCUGACUUUGGAGAGAAAGCCAUUAUCAGAAUCAAGCAGCAAAUUACUGGCUCCAGAGUUCCUAGCUUGCUACAAUAUCAGCUGUCUAAACCAAAACAAAGCAUUUUGUUGAAGCGGGGGGAAAAAAAAGGCAGAUCAAAGAGUAGCUCAUCCACGUGUCAGUUAGAUUAGCAUUUGAAAUUCCUUGUGAAUGUAUCCACAUGUUUAUGACAGGCAUGGUGUUCAGCUUUAGCAGCAUUAUGGGGAGUUACGAAAUUCUCUGUGUAAAAAUAGCGAGGUCAUGAGGAAACCACUCUUGCUGUGUAAGUCCUGACAAGCCAUGCCAACACCGUCACGCUGGGAUUGGCCUUCGGAUGGCACGGGGAGGGCAGAGUCACGCAGGCACACGUGACACGCCCUUGCUCUGCGGCCGGUGGGAUCCCUGGUAGCUUCGCAGUCAUGUGGGGCUUAGUCACAGGAGCAUAGAUCAGGUCCUGCUGAGCCCCCUUUCCAAGUGUGCGGCGCGCAAGCCGCCCAACCCAGGGGCCGGCAGCUGGGACAGGGCGAGCAGUGGGCUGCAGGGAGGAAGUGGGGAAGGCCUGGGGGCAGACGUGCCUGGGCGAGGGCCUUCCUAUUCCUGCUCUCCCUGUCUGCUCUGAGGAUGUGGGCCCUGACCUCCUUAUCUGUAAAGCCCUGAUGGUGGAUGCAGCUUCCCGGAGCUGCUGUGGAAACCACUGGUUAAUAUUUUACAGGUCGCUGGGUUACAAACUGUCAAGUCAGAGGAACACUACACGCUGGCACCAGCUGCUUCUCUGUAGCCACCCGUAUGUCCCUCCUGAGCCGUGGCAGGGAGUGACACCUUUGCCAAUACCACCAUCCACAGGGUCAACAUGACUCCCGGCCCUGGUCUUAGUAACUAGAGGAAACACACCAACUUCAGGCAUUGCUCACAGCCAGAGCUGGUGUUAACUGAACAAUGUUUUAAUUCACCUGCCGAGGAACUCACACAUUCCUUGCCAGCAGGCACAAUGGCUCUUGAUAGCCUGUGUGCAGGGAACAAAUGCGUUGGCCCCAUGCUCAGGCCAUGCGUACACAUAAGAGCUGUUGUCUGGGUCUUGGCUAAAAUAAACUGAAUCUUCCUGAAAACACAGAUUCCUAUCACGGAGUCCAUGAUAGGAAAGAUGUUCAGCUCUGCUGCUAUCAUGGGGAAGUAGAGUGGUUGAUCUGAAAUCUCCAGAUUCUAAUCAAGGAGAAGAAUGCUGUGCUGUGGCCACAGACCCCACUGUGGUCUUACAGAAAACCUGGAUCACAGCCCAUCUUCCGAUCAGUGACACACCUUCACAUGGGUGUGCAGCAUUUUACUGGGUGACUGCCUUUCAGAACCUUCUGGAAUUUUCCAGAUCCUUCCAGAUUGUAAUAAAGAAAAAGAAUGC
rnacentral:antisense_RNA from 1 species